UCGGGAAUUUUGGGCAGUGGGCGAAAGCCUGACCCAGCAACGCCGCGUGAGGGAUGAAGUAUUUCGGUAUGUAAACCUCGAAAGAAUGGGAAGAAUAAAUGACGGUACCAUUUAUAAGCUCCGGCUAACUACGUGACAGCAGCCGCGGUAAUACGUAGGGAGCAAGCGUUGUUCGGAGUUACUGGGCGUAAAGGGCGCGUAGGCGGCGCGGUAAGUCACUUGUGAAAUCUCUGAGCUUAACUCAGAACGGCCAAGUGAUACUGCUGUGCUAGAGGGCGGAAGAGGCAACCGGAAUUCUUGGUGUAGCGGUGAAAUGCGUAGAUAUCAAGAGGAACACCUGAGGCGAAGGCGGGUUGCUGGGCCGACACUGACGCUGAUGCGCGAAAGCCAGGGGAGCAAACG
rnacentral:rRNA from 1 species